rnacentral:rRNA from 1 species
UACGUAGGGGGCGAGCGUUGUCCGGAAUUAUUGGGCGUAAAGAGCGUGUAGGCGGUUCGGUAAGUCUGCCGUGAAAACCUGGGGCUCAACCCGGGCGUGCGGUGGAUACUGCCGGGCUAGAGGUGGUAGAGGCGAGUGGAAUCCCGGUGUAGCGGUGAAAUGCGCAGAUAUCGGGAGGAACACCUAUGGCGAAGGCAGCUCGCUGGGACGUUACUGACGCUGAGACGCGAAAGCGUGGGGAGCAAACAGG